AAGUCGUAACAAGGUUUCCGUAGGUGAACCUGCGGAAGGAUCAUUACUGAAAUAGAAGACCCACUUGUUGGGCUUCAACCUUUCAUAUUCAAACACACUGUGCACUGUCUAGAUGAACGUCACUGCCCUCUGGGGUGUGGCUACUAGUCUUACCUUUCUUCAAAACACAAGUCAAUGCAUGUACAAAUACAUAUAAUAAUAAAACUUUCAACAACGGAUCUCUUGGCUCCC
rnacentral:misc_RNA from 1 species